AUAUCGAAGAUAAACUCAUUUCUCUUCUUUUUCUUCUUAGUUGUUCUUCGUUUUCUUUUUUCUGAACUUCUUCUUUUUCGCUGUUCUUCGAUUUUUUUUCUUCUCAAAAGAAUGAACUCAGAAAUCGUUCUUAUCAAUUAAGAAGAAAUCUGGAGAAGUAAAUGAAUUAGGAAAGUGUUACUGAGGUUGUGAAUUUGGUUUUGGUUUUGGUUAGGGUUAUUAUUAAUUGAAGAACGACGAAUCAGUAAGAAAUAGAGUUAGGGUUUCUGCAGUUAGUAUUGAGUUUGUGAAAAAUCGAAGGAGGAAUUGGUGGAUUGAAUAACAUAAGGAGGAGUCGGUAGUAUUAACUCGGGUUACAUAGCAUAGGGUUAAUCAGGAAGAGGAGGUUAGGGUUUGGAAAUUGAUUUAAGGUUCAAUUAGUGAUAGAUGGGAAGAAAUCAAAGACUGGAUUUGGUGAUUUUAGAAGUGAAUCGAUGUUUUGAAACGAUGGUUCUGAGUAUAGGUGAUGGUGAUUGAAGAUGAAACCGAUGGUUAAGGUUUGAAAUUUGAUUUAAGGUUACGGUAAAAUUGAGAAAAAGUUAAGUAAAUGAGGCUUUGGUCAAGUAUAUGAUGGUAGAAGGGUUUCAGGUGGAAGUAGAACUUCUUGUCCAACUGCUGUAGAGAUUCUUUCAGGUCUCGUGCGAUGGAAAGUCUAAUGAUCAAACUGCUCAUGGGAAAUCCUAUUUUGAUUGUUGCGGUUUAUGAAGCCUUGCCUAUUUUCUGUCAUGUCGAACCAGAAUGGAAGCCAAGUAAUUCAAAAACUUUGCAAACAUGUGCAAAAUAUGUACUUGGGGGAUCUUUACGAAAUAGCAGUAAUAAACUGCGAUAAGAUUGCUACUACAAAACACAGAUGUUUCUCUCUCAAAGCUGUUAUUGAAUCCAUAGACGAUCCUCUCAAAUUUCAGCUGCUAUCAAUCAUCAUAGACCAGGCCGUGUCCCUUUAUGCACACGAAUACGUGUACUAAAGUCUAAACAUAAUAUCUCAGUUCAAAUAUUCUGGUUAGUGUCCUCUGAUCUGGCAAGUAUUUGAUGUUAAGUGUACUUUGCAGGAAUUUUGUGGUGCAACAUGUACUAGAGCGCCAUCCUAAUACUGCCAACCUUAUAUGCAAUAACCUUAGGGGACACUUAUUUCGAAUUUCUAAGGAUAAGUAUGGCAGUAAUGUUGUAGAAAAAUGUAUCAAAUCGAAUUCUACCGAUGUUGUAGUUUCGCAACUCUUCUGUGAUUGUAAUCAACUUGUUGAACUCUCUCAAGAUAAGUUUGGCAACUAUGUCGUCCAGAAAGCCCUUAAGCUUGGUAAGGGAAAGGCAUUACGCCAACUAGUUGACGCCCUUCGUAAAUGUUCGGGCGAUCUCAAGAAUCAUCCAAAUCGGAGGAAUGUGCAUAACUUGAUUAAAAGGAGAAUUGUUGUUGUACGAGAAUGAUUUAAGUUGUUGUACGAGAAUGAUUUAAGAUAUUGUUGCGUAGUAUGGAGCCGUUAUGCCCAUUGUGCAGACAAGACGACGGAUGAUAUUAAUGAGCAGACUGAGAACAUGAAGCAGGUUCAUGAAGCUUUUUCAAAUCUCGUUAGAGCAGCUGCCGACUUUGAUGAGAAAGAAUUGAAAUCUGAACUUGAGGAGUUGGAAGAAGCUGAAUUGGAGGAACAAGUUCUACAACCUGUAGCCUAAACUCAGGUUCAAAUAACGAAGAUGCAUUGAAGGCGUUGCUUGUUUCAACUGGAGUGAUCAAAGCUUAACCAACUGAUGAAAGUUUAAGGGAUUGAAUGGUUGGCUUCGUUCAUGUUUCUGCAGCAAAUAAAGCAAUAGAUAACCACAAGGAUAAACUGGUAGUAAAGGAGGCACCAAGAGCAGUGAGUAUUAACUUUCUUGAAUCAAUCUUAAAACCUAGUGCAACAUAUACUGUAAGAUCUAUGUAACAUGAGGUUGUGUAAAAACUUUUAUUCGUUUUUAGAAAACAAUUAUUGAGUAUGAAUUAUGAAACUUGAAUUUGAAUGCAAGGGAGAAAGCACGAUAAAAACUUGCCCAGUAUAGAAUGAA